rnacentral:lncRNA from 1 species
AUGUGCCAAGACUCAAGAGCUACCUCCUCUGUGAAGCCCUCCGUGACCACCAGCCCCAUCCCAUCCCAAGCUCUCCUUUGUGCUUCCUCUGCCCCGUAUGGACUUCUUGCUGCCCUGUGUAAAACUGCUAAGCGUCCAUAUACUAACGUGUCUGUCUCCAGCUUCCUGUGGAGCUCAGACAAUUUACCUGGCCUCUCCAAGCCUCCUUUUUUCAUAAAGAUGAUCGCUCUGAGGACUGGUGUCGGGAUGAAAAAGAUCGUGUGUGUAAUCUUGACAUAUAAUCAUAGGCACCUGGCACGUCAUAAUUUCUCUGUCAAAAUCGUAUGGGGUCCGCUAUCGUCGCAACACUCGGGAUGGCUCGUAUUUUUCAGCUGCCACAUGUGGUGGGCAGAUAGUCGCGACUCAGUAAAAACGAAGUCUGGCUUUCCAGCACGAGAGCAGGGAUCUGCUUUGCAUUCGUCCAAAGCAUGACGAUCACUGAGGCAGUCUGGUAUCGUGGUGAAUCCCCCUGAACCUCUCCUGUCUAUACCAAUACUCCUGCACAGUCUCCUACUACGAGUCUGGGCUGGACCAUAUGUCCUUUUGACCACAGGGACCUUAACAAGCCUGUGCAAGACGCGAUAAGCUCUUACACAUCAGGGUCUUGUCUUCUUGGAAGGCUGCUGCUUGGAACGCAGUCACCAUGUCAAGAGGAAGCCGAAGCUGGCCACAAGGAGGGUGGCCCCCAGCGACGGCGCCCAUCCCCGCUGAGGCCCCAGGCUCGUGAGAGAAACCGCCAUCUCGCAGCAGGUGCCACGCGGAGCAGAAAUGAGCCAAACUGCACAAUCCCAAGCAAACAGAUGAGCCUUGUCGUUUUAAGCCUCUAGGUUUGAGGGUGGUCUGGAACACAGCAAGUAAUGGCCCAGUGGGACAGGUGUAGAGAGUGCACGUCAGUGACACGCGGGGUGGGGUGAGCUGCUGGCUUGGGGACCCACCAGGUAAAAACAAAAAACAAAAAAACAAAAAAAACAAAAAACAAAAAGAACUUCAGGAUCAGCUGGUAGACGUGACUGUCUAACCUGCAACCCCAUCUCGGGGGGGUGGGGGGGACUCUUCCUUGGGAACCCAAUUCCCAGGUCCUCCGGGGAUCGUGACUGGUUAAGGAUGACUUUGGCUUAAACAAUGCAAAGUUGCCCAGGCUCCAACGAUAAGACGCCCAGAGGCGGCGGCUUCCGGCCAGGGGGAUGGGGCAGCUCAGCGAGGUCGCGGACAACCCACAUUGUGCCGCGGCGGCUUCGAUUCCCCCCACCCCGCUCCCAGACUCGCUGCCAGCUGCAGUCUGCCCUGCGUCUUCCUCCCUCUACACAGCGGCGCGAGAGAGGGAUGUUCCCCCCAGCUCUCCCGGGGCAGAGAAAAGAAUUUCCCAGAGGGCUCCGCGCGCUCCCACUUCUCCUUGCUUCUCAUUGGCCCAAACUGAGUCAUACGCCCAUUU